rnacentral:rRNA from 1 species
UACGGAAUGUGCAAACGUUAUUCGGAAUCACUGGGCUUAAAGAGUCCGUAGGCGGCUUGUUAGGUGAGGUGUGAAAUCCCUCGGCCCAACCGAGGAAUUGCGCUUCAAACCGGCAAGCUAGAGGAGGAUAGAGGUGGGCGGAACUGAUGGUGGAGCGGUGAAAUGCGUUGAUAUCUGGAGGAACACCGGUGGCGAAGGCGGCAUCCUGGACCGACACUGACGCUGAGGAGCGAAAGCCAGGGGAGCAAACGGG